rnacentral:tRNA from 1 species
GUCGACGUAGCUCAGGUAGUUAGAGCGGGCGUUUCAUAAGCGCCAGGUCCCAAGUGCAACUCUUGGCGUCGACA